AACGCACAUUGCGCCCCCUGGUAUUCCGGGGGGCAUGCCUGUCCGAGCGUCAUUGCUGCCCAUCAAGCACGGCUUGUGUGUUGGGUCGUCGUCCCCUCUUCGGGGGGGACGGGCCCCAAAGGCAGCGGCGGCACCGCGUCCGAUCCUCGAGCGUAUGGGGCUUUGUCACCCGCUCUGUAGGCCCGGCCGGCGCUUGCCGAACGCAAAACAACCAUUCUUUCCAGGUUGACCUCGGAUCAGGUAGGGAUACCCGCUGAACUUAA
rnacentral:misc_RNA from 3 species